GGGGGGAGCACCGGAUCCUGGCCUGUGUCCCCGGCACCCUGUGCUCCUGGGCCUGUGCUGUUGCAUUCGCGCUCCCGGCCAAGCAGCCCCUU
rnacentral:pre_miRNA from 1 species